rnacentral:misc_RNA from 1 species
GAUGAAGAACGUAGCGAAUUGCGAUAAGUAAUGUGAAUUGCAGAAUUCAGUGAAUCAUCGAAUCUUUGAACGCACAUUGCGCCCCUUGGUAUCCCGAGGGGCAUGCCUGUUCGAGCGUCAUUUCACCACUCAAGCCUGGCUUGGUGUUGGGCGACGUCCCCUUUGGGGACGCGCCUCGAAACGCUCGGCGGCGUGGCACCGGCUUUAAGCGUAGCAGAAUCUUUCGCUUUGGAAGUCGGGGCCCCGUCUGCCGGAAGACCUACUCGCAAGGUUGACCUCGGAUCAGGCAGGGAUACCCGCUGAACUUAAGCAUAUCAAUAAGCGGAGGA